GAUGAACGCUAGCGGCAGGCUUAACACAUGCAAGUCGAGGGGCAGCGAGAGAUGUGCUUGCACAUUUUGUCGGCGACCGGCGCACGGGUGCGUAACGCGUAUGCAACCUACCCAUAACAGGGGGAUAACACUGAGAAAUUGGUACUAAUACCCCGUAAUAUUACUGAAGGCAUCUUUAGUAGUUGAAAGUUCCGGCGGUUAUGGAUGGGCAUGCGUUGUAUUAGCUAGUUGGUGGGGUAACGGCUCACCAAGGCGACGAUACAUAGGGGGACUGAGAGGUUAACCCCCCACAUUGGUACUGAGACACGGACCAAACUCCUACGGGAGGCAGCAGUGAGGAAUAUUGGUCAAUGGACGCAAGUCUGAACCAGCCAUGUCGCGUGAAGGACGACGGUCCUAUGGAUUGUAAACUUCUUUUAUAUGGGAAUAAAGUGUGGGACGUGUCCCAUUUUGUAUGUACCAUUAUGAAUAAGCAUCGGCUAACUCCGUGCCAGCAGCCGCGGUAAAAC
rnacentral:rRNA from 1 species